CGGAUCAAAUAUGGUGCAAAUACG
rnacentral:siRNA from 1 species